UACGUAGGAGGCAAGCGUUGUCCGGAAUUACUGGGCGUAAAGCGCGUGUAGGUGGUGGGACAAGUCUGCUGUGAAAGUGCCUGGCUUAACCGGGCGAGGUCGGCGGAAACUGUCCGACUCGAGGACGGUAGAGGGGGGUGGAAUUCCCGGUGUAGUGGUGAAAUUCGUAGAUAUCGGGAGGAACACCGGUGGCGAAGGCGGCGAUCUGGGUAGAUACUGACGCUGAGGUGCGAAAGCGUGGGGAGCAAACAGG
rnacentral:rRNA from 1 species